rnacentral:lncRNA from 10 species
UAAGAGGAAUCUCCUCUUGAAAGUCUCUCCCCAGGGACCAUGACUGAGAGCUCAUUGGCUGUAGCUGGGUCACAUGGCCACAGAAAAAAGAGUCUGGGAAGAUGAGAAUAUUUUUUAGCUGGGCACUUUGCUGUCCUUACAACAGCAAGAUUUUGUUAGGAACGAAGAGGGUAGUGAUAAGCUCCUCACCUCCUGCCUGCCUAAGCUCCAGUUGCAAGGAAGGGAGAUAGAGUGAGAAGAAUAAAAAUAAAGAAGUUGCUCAUCUCUUCAUUUUGCAGGAGGACCUUGAAGUUUGCACAGCAUGGUGACGGUGACACCAAAUGAAAAGAGGACUGAGAACAGACUGUAAGCAAUUCAGCCUGCCAAAAAUUCAGAUUGCUAAAUAAGGGAUACCAAUCAGAUGUUUUCUAUCUUCCCUGGAGAAACUAAGGAACUUCAAGUUUAAAAUGCCUCAUGAAGAAUUGGGAUAAAAUAUAAAGAAUUUCCUGAAGAAAGGGAGGAAGAUGAUUGUGUACUGAAUGAUUGCAAUAGAACAUCUGAAAAUGUAAAAUGAAAAGGAUAACUGAACUUUUCUAUGAAGAGCUUGAUUAUGGCCAUACAUUGAAUUAAUGAGCAU